rnacentral:rRNA from 1 species
UACGUAGGGUGCAAGCGUUGUCCGGAAUUAUUGGGCGUAAAGAGCUCGUAGGCGGUCUGUCGCGUCGGCUGUGAAAAUCCCGGAGCUCAACUCCGGGUCUGCAGUCGAUACGGGCAAACUGGAGUACUGCAGGGGGAGACUGGAAUUCCUGGUGUAGCGGUGAAAUGCGCAGAUAUCAGGAGGAACACCGGUGGCGAAGGCGGCGCACUGGACCAUAACUGACGCUGAUGCACGAAAGCUAGGGGAGCAAACAGG